UACUUUGGUCACGCUACAAACUAGACACCGAACGCCAGCUAAAUUAUACAUUGAUUUUGAAAAUUAUGGUAAAAUUCUAAAUAAUUUCCCCAUUUAAACGUAUUAGUGGACCGUACAAUUGGAAUAAAAUUGAUAUUAGAUUGAUUGUACGCCAGCUGGGUGAAGCGGAACUGCAUAUUAUUGGUGUGGCGACGUUCGACGCAUAAAAGCAAAAACGAGCAAAAGCACGCGCAGGCCGACGUCUGUCACAUCAGCUGCUGCUGCUGCUGCCGCUGCCAGGAUCUCCCCGAACCGACAUCUCCGGCCGUAAGGACCACCGUAGUGUCCGUGUCCGAUUCCAGAGCCGAGUUCUCUCCAGCAGCCGGUGUUUCUUCGUGUGAAGUGCCGUGAAGUUGUAAAACUCACAUACAUACUUGGGUACAAACGUUCAUAAACGCGAGUAUUCACAUAUCUACGCACGUAUUGUUAUGUAGGCUGUGCGUAUAUAUGCGCUAUAUGUAUCCCCCGAUGUCCUGUGCAUCCCGUGAAACUGUCAAGUCGGAAGGUUGGGCGAAAAAUCGCAACUACUGCCUAUCAAAAAACUCAAAAACUCCCCUGGAAUAGUCUUAAUUUAUUGUAACCCCACCGAACUGCAUACUGUGUACUGUGUCCUAUAAACUUUUGGUUAUUUCUCACCCCCGAAACAGUUAACCACCUUGACGCUAUAGUAAACCUGGUCUCUAUAAAACUCAGCGAUCUUAAAAAUAACAAUCAGAAGUCUCGCUGGCCUGCUGGGGAGGACACAGGCGGAAUAAAUCUGGAAAUCACAUCACAAUAAGUCAUGCCACGGGGUAAACGCCGAGCUGCAGAUAUCGGUGACAACAUGGAUGGUCAGUCGAAGAGAGCCCGCACCAGCUACACCAGCAUACCAACACAACAGAGCAGCAGACGCCAUAUCAGAGCAGAAGAUGGAUUCAGCCAAAAGCGAUGUCUGACAUGGUUCCAAGAAUACACUACUCCCGACGAACCAGAGACACUGGGUCCCGACGGUAUGGAGAAAUUCUGCGAGGAUAUCGGCGUGGAGCCCGAGAACAUUGUGAUGCUGGUGCUGGCCUACAAAAUGGGUGCCACCCAGAUGGGCUUCUUUAGUCAGCAAGAGUGGCUGAAGGGUCUCACAGAUCUCGAGUGUGACUCGGCAGCGAAAAUGGUUGUGAAACUGGACUAUCUGCGCAGCAUACUCAAUGAUCCCAACUCCUUCAAAAGCAUCUACAGAUACGCCUACGAUUUUGCCAAGGAUUCUGAUCAACGAAGUAUGGACAUUCUUACAGCCAAGGCCAUGCUGCAGCUGUUACUUGGCAAGCACUGGCCACUAUAUCCACAGUUCGCACAGUUUCUAGAGCAAUCAAAGUACAAGGUGAUCAACAAGGAUCAGUGGUGUAAUAUUCUAGAGUUUUCGCGCACCAUCUGCAUUGAUUUGUCCAACUACGAUAUAGAUGGGGCAUGGCCUGUCAUGUUGGAUGAGUUUGUGGAGUGGCUGCGGUUGCAGCGGAGUCUGGCGAACUCAAGUCCCGGAUCCAGCUGAGAGAUGCUGUAUCAAGUCGCCUAUUUCUAGUUCAACUUUGGGAGCGAGAUCAGUGCGGAGGAGUAGGAGCAAAUGGAAGAAGUUGGGGAAUCCAUUGAAGAAUUGAAAGAAAGAAAGAAA